AGUGAACGCUGGCGGUAGGCCUAACACAUGCAAGUCGAACGGCAGCACAGUAAGAGCUUGCUCUUACGGGUGGCGAGUGGCGGACGGGUGAGGAAUACAUCGGAAUCUACUUUUUCGUGGGGGAUAACGUAGGGAAACUUACGCUAAUACCGCAUACGACCUACGGGUGAAAGCAGGGGAUCUUCGGACCUUGCGCGAUUGAAUGAGCCGAUGUCGGAUUAGCUAGUUGGCGGGGUAAAGGCCCACCAAGGCGACGAUCCGUAGCUGGUCUGAGAGGAUGAUUAGCCACACUGGAACUGAGACACGGUCCAGACUCCUACGGGAGGCAGCAGUGGGGAAUAUUGGACAAUGGGCGCAAGCCUGAUCCAGCCAUACCGCGUGGGCGAAGAAGGCCUUCGGGUUGUAAAGCCCUUUUGUUGGGAAAGAAAAGCAGCAGGUUAAUACCCCGCUGUUCUGACGGUACCCAAAGAAUAAGCACCGGCUAACUUCGUG
rnacentral:rRNA from 1 species